GAUGAACGCUAGCGAUAGGCUUAACACAUGCAAGUCGAGGGGUAACGUGUUGGAAGCUUGCUUCCGAUGACGACGACCGGCGGAUGGGUGCGUAACGCGUAUGCAACUUGCCUCACAGUGGAGAAUAACCCGGAGAAAUCCGGACUAAUACUCCAUACACUCUUAAGUACGCCUGUACAUGAGAGGAAAGAUUUAUCGCUGUGAGAUAGGCAUGCGUCCUAUUAGGUAGUUGGUGAGGUAACGGCUCACCAAGCCGACGAUAGGUAGGGGUGCUGAGAGGCAGAUCCCCCACAUUGGGACUGAGACACGGCCCAAACUCCUACGGGAGGCAGCAGUGAGGAAUAUUGGUCAAUGGAGGAAACUCUGAACCAGCCAAGUCGCGUGAAGGAAGAAUGUCCUAAGGAUUGUAAACUUCUUUAGCGAGCGAGUAAGGACUUCCAUGUGAUGGGAGUUUGAAAGUAGCUCGAGAAUAAGUAUCGGCUAACUCCGUG
rnacentral:rRNA from 1 species